UACAGAUUUCUAUGGCAGAAAAAUCUGCCUC
rnacentral:sRNA from 1 species